AUUACCUAGAGUUUGUAGACUUCGGUCUGCUACCUCUUACCCAUGUCUUUUGAGUACCUUCGUUUCCUCGGCGGGUCCGCCCGCCGAUUGGACAACAUUCAAACCCUUUGCAGUUGCAAUCAGCGUCUGAAAAAACAUAAUAGUUACAACUUUCAACAACGGAUCUCUUGGUUCUGGCAUCGAUGAAGAACGCAGCGAAAUGCGAUAAGUAGUGUGAAUUGCAGAAUUCAGUGAAUCAUCGAAUCUUUGAACGCACAUUGCGCCCCUUGGUAUUCCAUGGGGCAUGCCUGUUCGAGCGUCAUUUGUACCUUCAAGCUCUGCUUGGUGUUGGGUGUUUGUCUCGCCUCUGCGUGUAGACUCGCCUUAAAACAAUUGGCAGCCGGCGUAUUGAUUUCGGAGCGCAGUACAUCUCGCGCUUUGCACUCAUAACGACGACGUCCAAAAGUACAUUUUUACACUCUUGACCUCGGAUCAGGUAGGGAUACCCGCUGAACUUAAGCAUAUCAAUAAGCGGAGGAA
rnacentral:rRNA from 1 species